rnacentral:rRNA from 1 species
AUGAACGCUGGCGGCGUGCCUAAUACAUGCAAGUCGAGCGAACGGACGAGAAGCUUGCUUCUCUGAUGUUAGCGGCGGACGGGUGAGUGACACGUGGAUAACCUACCUAUAAGACUGGGAUAACUUCGGGAAACCGGAGCUAAUACCGGAUAAUAUUUUGAACCGCAUGGUUCAAAAGUGAAAGACGGUCUUGCUGUCACUUAUAGAUGGAUCCGCGCUGCAUUAGCUAGUUGGUAAGGUAACGGCUUACCAAGGCAACGAUGCAUAGCCGACCUGAGAGGGUGAUCGGCCACACUGGAACUGAGACACGGUCCAGACUCCUACGGGAGGCAGCAGUAGGGAAUCUUCCGCAAAGGGCGAAAGCCUGACGGAGCAACGCCGCGUGAGUGAUGAAGGUCUUCGGAUCGUAAAACUCUGUUAUUAGGGAAGAACAUAUGUGUAAGUAACUGUGCACAUCUUGACGGUACCUAAUCAGAAAGCCACGGCUAACUACGUG